rnacentral:ncRNA from 1 species
GACACAUCCAGAGGAGUGGAGGGACUGGCCCUACGAAGCUCCGGCAACCACCCGCGAAUCAUGCCGACCGGGGGCAGGUGCCAAUUCCAGAGAGAUGUGUG